rnacentral:rRNA from 1 species
CCUACGGGUGGCUGCAGUGGGGAAUAUUGCGCAAUGGGGGCAACCCUGACGCAGCAACGCCGCGUGAUUGAAGAAGGCCUUCGGGUUUUAAAGAUCUUUAAUCGGGGACGAAUUUUGACGUUACCCGAAGAAUUAGCUCCUGCUAACUACGUCCCAGCAGCCGCGGUAAUACGUAGGGAGCAAGCGUUAUCAGGAUUUACUGGGUGUAAAGGGCGUUUAGGCGGGCAGGCAAGCCAGAAGUGAAAUCUGGGGGCUUAACCCCCAAACUGCUUUUGGAACUGCGUGUCUUGAGUGAUGGAGAGGCAGGCGGAAUUCCGAGUGUAGCGGGGAAAUGCGUAGAUAUUGGGAGGAACACCAGUGGCGAAGGCGGCCUGCUGGACAUUAACUGACGCUGAGGCGCGAAAGCGUGGGGAGCAAACAGGAUUAGAGACCCGAGUAGUC